rnacentral:rRNA from 1 species
GAUGAACGCUGGCGGCGUGCCUAAUACAUGCAAGUCGAGCGAGCAGACGAGGAGCUUGCUCCUCUGACGUUAGCGGCGGACGGGUGAGUAACACGUGGAUAACCUACCUAUAAGACUGGGAUAACUUCGGGAAACCGGAGCUAAUACCGGAUAACAUGUUGAACCGCAUGGUUUAACAGUGAAAGGCGGUCUUGCUGUCACUUAUAGAUGGAUCCGCGCCGCAUUAGCUAGUUGGUAAGGUAACGGCUUACCAAGGCAACGAUGCGUAGCCGACCUGAGAGGGUGAUCGGCCACACUGGAACUGAGACACGGUCCAGACUCCUACGGGAGGCAGCAGUAGGGAAUCUUCCGCAAUGGGCGAAAGCCUGACGGAGCAACGCCGCGUGAGUGAAGAAGGUCUUCGGAUCGUAAAACUCUGUUAUUAGGGAAGAACAAAUGUGUAAGUAACUAUGCACGUCUUGACGGUACCUAAUCAGAAAGCCACGGCUAACUACGUG